CAUCAAUGUUUUCAUUGCAGAGCUGCAGGUAAACUCUAUGAUAGCAUGAUGAUGGAACUCAGAGUUCGGGUCAUCAAUGAGAAGAUUUCGACUAAUACUGCCAUAUCUCAAAAGCCAUGACUCUAAGUCUGUGUCUGCCUCUGUCAGUGUCAAACCGCCAACAAUAACUGCGUUUGAGAUGUUUACAUCCUCUUUCUCAAUGAUAUCCAUGAUGUUAAAGUUCUGUUCAAUAUGUUAUCUUUCUAGUGAACUCAGCUGCUCUAAUCAGCCACUGCUGUUGCAAUCUCUCUCCUGGCUGGCUCGCCACUUUCUGUAACACGUCACACCCAAAUAUCUUGCAAGUUAUUUUAUCAAUGGACCAGUAAGUUCAGCAUUCUAGGUUCGUCCGAGAAGAGAGAUGUGCGACAGCAGUGAACCACUCAGAUACAGGGGUUGAGGUACGAAUAAGAAAGAUUAUAUUUUUAACAAUGAAUUAACAAUGUCAUAAAUAAAAAAAAAACAAUUUUGUUUCUCACACUCAGUGUAUAAUGACCUCAAUUUAGUUACAUUCAAUAGUAAGGAUUUGUACCAGGUUCCUUUUCCUUUACAGACUUAUGGCAAUAUCACUCGUCAAGGAAUGUUCACAACCUCCAACCAAUGGGCGGCUCGCCAGUCCAAACUCCACCGUUAUGUGCACAGGAGAGAGUUGAGACAGUUCACAAUCCAGGAAAAGGUUCACACUUCACUUGAUUCGUAUCCAGAACAGGCAACAUGCAGUAGAUGAACAUCAAACAGGACAUCACAAGGAAACAAACAAGGAGAGGAAAAAAAAAAAAAACCUAGCCUUGAAAACACAAGGCAAAAAAAAUAAAAAAAAUAUAUAUAAUCAAUCAAUUAGCACUUUCCAAUGUAUAUACUGAUUCAACACAAAUUUCAAAUAAACAAUAUACAUUCAUAUACUUCUGUGUACGGAAUUUCUUUGUAUGAUUUUUCUUUCCUUAUUUGGCAUUCCCUUUUUAACAAUAUAAGCAUUGCACUUAAAUUUUAUGCAGUCACUUGCAUAAUUAUCUUAUUUGACACACAAAGCAUAUUAAUUAUUGGUAUUUCACAGGAAUUACCAUUACUUUUCUCUCUAUUUCUCUCUUAGGUCUGUGUCCAUCAUUUAUCACCACACCAAAUAAAUGGUUAAUUUACGAAACACAUUUUUAACAAGACUUCAAAC
ensembl:lncRNA